AGUCAUAUGCUUGUCUCAAAGAUUAAGCCAUGCAUGUCUAAGUAUAAAUGGUAUACAAUGAAACUGCGAAUGGCUCAUUAAAACAGUUAUAGUUUAUUUGGUAACCAAACUUACAUGGAUAACCGUGGUAAUUCUAGAGCUAAUACAUGCUGUCACGCCCGACUCACGAAGGGCCGUAUUUAUUAGAUAUCAGCCAAUAAGCAUCUGCUAUUGUGGUGACUCAUAGUAACUUAAUCGGAUCGCAUGGGCUUGCCCCGCGACAAACCAUUCAAGUUUCUGCCCCAUCAUGCUUUCGAUGGUAGUGUAUUGGACUACCAUGGCUUUCACGGGUAACGGAGGAUUAGGGUUCGAUUCCGGAGAGGGAGCCUGAGAAACGGCUACCACAUCUAAGGAAGGCAGCAGGCGCGCAAAUUACCCAAUCCCGACACGGGGAGGUAGUGACAAGAAAUAACAAUACAGGGCAUCCAUGUCUUGUAAUUGGAAUGAGUAGAAUUUAAAUCCCUUUACGAGUAUCGAU
rnacentral:rRNA from 1 species